AUGUCGUCGAUGAGCACGAUCUCGUUGAGCGUGUCCGCCAUCCUGCCGAUGGAGGGCGGGAUGCACCCGCCGAGCCGAUUGUGCGCGAGCACGACGACGGAGGCCGGCGAGUUGCCGAGGUUGGCGGGGAUGGGGUUGCGCAGGCGGUUGGAGUUGAGGAAGAUGGCGUCGAGCGGGCGGUCGAAGAGCGCCGGCGGGAUGGAGCCCUCGAAGUCAUUGAAGCGGAGGUCGAGGUACCUGAGGGACGGCAGCGCGAGCACCACCUCCGGGAAGGCGCCGACGAAGCGGUUGUUGCUGAGGUCGAGCUCGUGGAGCAGGCGCAAGCGGCGGAAGGUGUCGGGCACGACGCCGCAGAAGCGGUUGGAGUUGAGGUGCAGCAGCGCCAGGUCCGGGAGCCCCAGCGGGAGGGAGGCGGGGAUGUAG
rnacentral:rRNA from 1 species